CGAAAAGCAAAAGCUCAAAUAUGAGAAACGCAUCACGUACCCAUUGAACCAAUUCCAAAUACAACUCAGAACCAAAAUGAAAAUUAUGAGGCUACUGCUAUGAAAAACGUUACAACUCAUUUCGUUUAGUUCCUCGCAACUAGCAAUGAAACAAUGCCUAGCCGGUACAAGAUAUACAAGGGACUAUCCCCAAAAGAAAAGAAUAAAAAAUCACAAAAAAGAAAGAAGCUCUCUCUAUAUCCAAAUUUUCUUCUACCUAUUCCAAGUAUGAAAAUUAGAUUACAAGAUAAUACAAAAUAUAUAAGCAAACCAUUUUUUUAGAGCAAAAGGCAUCAAUUAACUUGGGUGCUUCUCUCUUUGCAAAGCAUGUGCCACUCCUGGAGCACAGCUGCUUGAAGGGCCAUGUGCUCAACCUCCUCUGCAGUCAACUUUGACAAUGUUCCUUUAGGUUUACCAUUUUUCUCACCAUCUUUCUUUUCGCCAUUCUUUUCCUUCUCAUCCUCAGCUUCCUCUUCCUCUUCCUCUUCAUCAUCAGAUUUUGGAGUUUUAGGAGGCGGUUGGGCUGCUUUUAAUAAGGCUAUCCGUUCCAUUGAAAUCCUAAGCCUCUCAGCAGCAGCCUCCUUCACUUCAUCUUCAGGCACGUACUCGACACCCCCAUCAGUAAGGUCAUCCAACCAACCCUGUAAGUCUGAUUCAAUCUCCUUAGUAAUUGAUGCAUCAGAUGCUCGGAUAACAAAUUUGCACAACAUGGUGGUCGUCUCAUCACCCAGAUCCACAUUUCUGCUAACUUCACUGGCCCCAAAAACCAUCAUACCCACAAAGCCCCCAAACCAAGUUUUUGCAGCAUAGCAAAGCUGAAAUCCUGCUACUGUCUGGAUGAUGUGGGAACAAAUUCUGUGGAAAGGCUUGGAAGACAAAGAUUUAAGUCCACUAAGAAAAGGAGAAGACCCAUAUUGUUGUGCAGCAGUCGCCUUGAAGCCACUUCCUUCAUAAAUAUACAUGCCAGUAUACUCUACUACAGCUGGCAAACUAGGCCAUAAGCGAAAGAACUCAACAGGCGAUAUUUUAUGUGGCAAAAGAAGUUCAGUCAAUGGAAUUUUGUAAGGCUGACACCUCAAAAUCACAGGUUCUCCUAGUUCUGGUCUUGAGCUUCUCUUCUGCCUCAUGAUUUGUGGAUCCUCCUCAGUAUAGUCACCAUCAUAAUCUCCUAUCGCACCACUUCCAUAGAAUGGGUAGUACAAGACUUGAACCCAAAAGGCACAUCUUUCAUAGUGGGACACACCCACUGUUACACUGCAGAGUACCGGAUCCUGUGAAACAAGAUUACAUAGCUGUCGCACAGCCUGAGGAGAUCCAUCCAUAAAAUAUAAUGCACCAGAUAAUCCAACCCGAAUAUCCACCCUACCGAGUUCGAGUUCAGUCAAGUUUAAAACCUUCAGAUGCAAAGUGAUCCUUCCAUCACCUGAGUCUGCCAACUGAUAAGCUUCAACAUAGCAUGGAUCACUGCUACCCGUCAAAGCAUAUGCAGCAGGCAUAACCUUUAAUAAUUUAGAAUCAAUUCCUUUUGUCAGCAAAAUAGUUAAUUCACUAGGACCUGGCCUCCAAAGCUCUAAAAUAGCCUUGUGAACCAAUCCUUCUAACUUUCUGUCCUGAGAGGCAGCUGCUUCAUAAAACUGAACAGUAAGUUUGUGAUGGCUAAAUGGAUAGUCUCCACUGGCUUCACUAACCCCAGCCCACCUAUUAUCUGGAUGAUUUUGAACAUAUUUAAUUCUCUGCAAUAUCAAACGGCACUGAUGCUUGUUGACAGAAUCAGCCAACCCAUUGUUUCUAAAUUCUUCCAGCUCUUUAGUUAGUAACUGGCCAGCCCUAAGGUUACGUGAUCCCAACCGCUGUGCACUUAAAAGAACUGCUUGAACAUCUUGAAGCUUAUUUGAUGUAUUUGCAGAUGAAUCAAUGUUGAAUAAGACCUUGUGGAUAUUUGAUACAAUAAUGUUCAAGGUAUCCUCAGGAUCAUCAGCUAGAAGUGGAUCCAAACCAUCUAGAUUUAUGUGUUCAUCAAUUGCCCAAAUAAGACGUGCACAUACUCUUGGGGCACUUACCUCACGUAGAUCCUUCACAAGUUCACGUUGCAAGUUUUGCAGUCUUGUCUCAUUUAAAAUCUGAUCCUGAGAAGCACCAUCUUUAACGGUUUUUACACCUCCUCGGGUAUCAUAGAUAUGGCACAGCCUUACAAGCAACUUCAGAUAGCAAUCAAUUGCAUAGGUCCUGCCAUCACAAUCCCAUUUGACACAAGGCCUACAGACUUCAACUACUUCCAAAGCAGGCUCCGUCCAGUUCAGGGCACCAUAACCAGUUCCGUAAGCCAAAGCUCCAAUCACUCUGCUCUCCAUUCCUGAGUUCGUCUGUUCGGGCAAAGGUAGAGACAACUGGAAGCAACUUUCCACUAGUGAUGCCACUAACUCCUCCCUAAAUAAGCUUUUACUUGUUGCACUAUUGAGAUCAUCCCUUAUUCUUGCAUCCUCAAAAAGAGAAGCAAUGUCAGUGCCUGCAAGAGGUUUCUGACCUCUUCGUACACUUUCCUUAGCAAAAAGGUCAACACAAAGAGCUGUCCGGCAAAUACAUGCUAAAGCAUGCAUACGGUCUGAUUCUGCUCUCAAAUUUCUCACCAUCAGAAGUAGCCUUUUAAACAAUGAAACCUUCAAACAUAAACUUGACAAUAUCACUAAAAAAUGAAAGACAACAUCAACAAAAUAACGUUAUCUAAUUUCAAAAAAGUCUUCUGCAAUAGUUUUCCUUGCAAUAGUUUUCCUUGCGUCUUCAUUGGAGUUCAUUUGGUGAAGGAAAUUUAUCAACAAUUUAGAUCCAAACUCACAAUCUCAACAAAGCAUUUCUGGUUCUUAGUGUACCAACCAUUAAGAAUCAGAAGGUAGAGAACUUGCAUAUAUUAUUCUAGUUUAUAAGUCCCCAUAUAAGAAAAAUGUGUAAGCUUCUUUAAUUAAACAGAAGAAUCAAAAUCAUACUUGCAUAUGAAGAUCAAGGAGGUGCAGAUUUGUAACAACAGCUCGAACAAUACUCUCCCUCGCCGAAGAAAAUUCCUGCCUAUCCCAAAGCGUCAAAAUGGCAAUAAUAGAUUGUGAAGCCCACUCCGGCUUGCCUCCAGGCACAUCAGACAAGUACAACAUAUUAAUUCCCACCUCAAAAAUCAAGGCCGGAUCCAACGACGACGCUAAGAAGGGUGCCAAAUGUGUGACCACAUCAGAAACUCCAACUAACUUUUCUGCAUUGGAAUCCACCACGCUAACAUUGGCGCCACUGGCCGCUGUCUUGGAAACCUUCCUGAUCACCUCCACGUUCCCCGACGCGACUGCUUUUACUGAAUACACGAGUGGGAACACAGUAGCCCUAAUGUUCUCCACAGGUAAGAUCAAUGACCUUGACAUUAAAGCAUUUCUUCUCUUCCAAACGAAAUCCACCAUCGAUGAAACCCAAUUAGACCUAAUCGCUAAUGAAUUUUCACUAUCAACUAGCUUAUCACCCGCCAAUCGACUCAUUCUCUUCAAAUCAAACUCCUGAAACAACCUCCCAACUGAUUCAAAUGCGACUUUGGCAACGUUAUCGGAUUUAUCCAACAUGUUUUGCCCAAUUCGCGCCCACCAUUUAGAGACCUUAUUGAGCAAAUUCACAUUGUUUUCACACAGAGUCACCAUAUCAUCCCGCGCCAAAAUGCAACCAAGGGUUUCAGUAAUCGAAAAACGCAAAUUAUCGCUAGGAGAAUCAAAACAUCCGGAUAUUUCAGCAUUGGAAUCCAUGAUCAGUUUAGAGAGCGAGUAGGAUGGCAUAGCAGCAAGAAUUGAAACAGCGGCAGCAGUGACGUCAGGGUCAGGGAAGUGGAGAUCAGAACGGACGCCAGUGCAUACGGAGUCCCAGAGAUCAGCAGUGAGACGAGUGGAUCGAAUCAAGUCAAAAGAGAGCUUCUUACAAACGGCGGAGGCUGGUGCAGCGACGAUCUCUUCGACGGCGGUCUUGGCGAUGACAGAAAUGUCACGGCCAGCAGCAGACUGCUGGAGAGCUUGGAGGAGAGCACCAGAUUGGCGCAAAGCGUCAUUGGAGCGGAGGUCCGCUUGGAUCUGAGCGAAGAGUAUAUCCAUCUUGGUCUAUGCAGAGACCAAGAUUCGAAGAUUUACUUUGGAUCAAUUAGAGGCUAUUUUCUGGCGAUUGAAACAUGGAUAAUUUGAAGCAAAAUUUGAUUGGAAAUGGAGAAAGGAUGGAGGGAAGGUGACGAGAACCGCAAUGUGAGCUUUGUUUUCA
rnacentral:misc_RNA from 1 species